AUGUGGACAGUAUGGGAGUGAGAAUGUUGGCAUGAGUAGCGAGAUGUGGGUGAGAAUCCCACAGGCCGUAAACCCAAGGUUUCCAGGGGAAGGUUCGUCCGCCCUGGGUUAGUCGGGACCUAAGCUGCGGCCGAAAGGCGUAGGUGAUGGACAACAGGUUGAUAUUCCUGUACUACCGAUAACCGUUUGAGAGAAGGGAUGACACAGUAGGAUAAGCUAAGCACACUGUUGGUUAUGUGUGCCCAAGCAUUGAGGCAGUCAAAGUAGGUAAAUCCGCUUUGAUAAUGCUGGGAUGUGAUGGGGAGCGAAAUUUAGUAGCGAAGUAGCUGAUUUCACACUGUCAAGAAAAG
rnacentral:rRNA from 1 species